ACGGGAGGCAGCAGUGAGGAAUAUUGGUCAAUGGGCGGAAGCCUGAACCAGCCAAGUCGCGUGAAGGAAGACGGUAUUAUGUAUUGUAAACUUCUUUAGCAGUAGAGCAAUAAGCGCCACGUGUGGCGUGAUGAGAGUAUACUGAGAAUAAGCAUCGGCUAACUCCGUGCCAGCAGCCGCGGUAAUACGGAAGAUGCGAGCGUUAUCCGGAUUUAUUGGGUUUAAAGGGAGCGUAGGCGGUCCUUUAAGUCAGCGGUCAAAUGUCAGCGCCCAACGCUGGCCUGCCGUUGAUACUGGAGGACUUGAAUACACACAAGGAAGGUGGAAUUCGUCGUGUAGCGGUGAAAUGCUUAGAUAUGACGAAGAACUCCGAUUGCGAAGGCAGCCUUCUGGAGUGCGAUUGACGCUGAGGCUCGAAAGCGCGGGUAUCAAACAGGAUUAGAUACCCUGGUA
rnacentral:rRNA from 1 species